UACGUAGGGGGCAAGCGUUGUCCGGAAUCACUGGGCUUAAAGCGCGUGUAGGCGGGACGGCACGUCGGUCGCUGAAAUCCCCCGGCUCAACCGGGGAAGGGGCGCCGAUACGACCGUCCUGGAGGGACGUAGGGGGACCUGGAACUUCCGGUGGAGCGGUGAAAUGCGUUGAGAUCGGAAGGAACGCCCGUGGCGAAAGCGAGGUCCUGGACGUUUUCUGACGCUGAGACGCGAAAGCCAGGGGAGCAAACGGG
rnacentral:rRNA from 1 species